AUAAACGACUCUCGGCAACGGAUAUCUCGGCUCACGCAUCGAUGAAGAACGUAGCAAAAUGCGAUACUUGGUGUGAAUUGCAGAAUCCCGUGAACCAUCGAGUUUUUGAACGCAAGUUGCGCCCGAAGCCUUUUGGCUGAGGG
rnacentral:rRNA from 2 species